AAGAUUAAAACUCAAAGGAAUUGACGGGGCCCCGCACAAGCAGCGGAGCAUUCGGCUUAAUUCGACGCAACGCGAAGAACCUUACCAAGGCUUGACAUAUAGGGAAAAGUGGCAGAGAUGUCAUGUCCGCAAGGGCCCUAUACAGUUGGUGCAUGGUCGUCGUCAGCUCGUGUCGUGAGAUGUUGGGUUAAGUCCCGCAACGAGCGCAACCCUCGUUCUGUGUUGCCAGCAUUUAGUUGGGGACUCACAGGAGACUGCCGGGGUUAACUCGGAGGAAGGUGGGGAUGACGUCAAAUCAUCAUGCCCCUUAUGUCUUGGGCUGCACGCAUGCUACAAUGGCCGGUACAGAGGGCUGCAAUACCGUAAGGUGGAGCGAAUCCCAAAAAGCCGGUCUCAGUUCGGAUUGAGGUCUGCAACUCGACCUCAUGAAGUCGGAGUUGCUAGUAAUCGUAGAUCAGCAUCGCUACGGUGAAUACGUUCCCGGGGCUUGUACACACCGCCCGUCACGUCACGAAAGUCGGUAACACC
rnacentral:rRNA from 1 species